AUAAACAUAACAAAAAAAGUUAAAAGAAAUAAAAUACUAAAAGAAAAUAAAAUGCUAAAAGAAAAAUAAAAUACUAGAAAAAAUGCUACACAUGAGUAUUGAACCCACCCCACUCAAGACUAUGAUACUACCCUUCUCCACCAGACCACUCAUGGUUAUCUAUUAUUUUGAUGCUACUUUAAAUAUAUAAACCAAAAUAGAUUAAACAUUAGAAUAAAAACUAAAAUAAAAAAAAGUCUGUUGGACUACCAGUAGUUAAACCCAGCCACUUGGCUGUUGGGUUUUUCAAUGGGGAAUAAGUUGAAAACAUAAAAACAAUUAUUAACUAAACCUAGGAAUUCUAAGCAAAACCUUUAAUGUUUUAAAAAACCUAUUCUGUUUAAAAUAAAAUAAAAAAGAAAGAAAAUAAGGAAAACGAAACAAUAGACACUUCCGUCUCUCUCUCACACUGCGUCUCUCACCAUCUCAUAAACUCUCUCAAGCUCAAAGAAAUCGCUCCCUCAAUCCCCAAUCUCACUCAAACGCGACCUCACGAUUACUCUCAAAGUCUCUCUCUCAACUUUCGCCGUUACCAAACGGCGUUCCUCUCAAACACUCAUCUCUCUCAAUCGCUCUCAA
rnacentral:lncRNA from 1 species